AGUAAAGUGGCGCACGGGUGAGUAACGCGUGGGUAAUCUACCUCUGAAUUGGGGAUAACAUUGUGAAAGCGAUGCUAAUACCGAAUAAUAUCCCGAGAACUUAGGCUUUUGGGAUCAAAGGUGGCCUCUACAUGUAAGCUACUGUUUAGAGAUGAGCCCGCGUACCAUUAGCUUGUUGGUAGGGUAAUGGCCUACCAAGGCAACGAUGGUUAGCUGGUCUGAGAGGAUGAUCAGCCACACUGGAACUGACACACGGUCCAGACUCCUACGGGAGGCAGCAGUGAGGAAUUUUGCGCAAUGGGGGAAACCCUGACGCAGCAACGCCGCGUGAGUGAUGAAGGCUUUCGAGUCGUAAAGCUCUGUCAAGUGAGAAGAACCUACUUUUUGUUAAUACCAUUAAGUACUGACGGUAUCACUGAAGGAAGCACCGGCUAACUCCGUGCCAGCAGCCGCGGUAAUACGGAGGGUGCAAGCGUUAUUCGGAAUUAUUGGGCGUAAAGGGCGCGUAGGCGGUCUUUUAAGUCAGAUGUGAAAGCCCGGGGCUCAACCCCGGAAGUGCAUUUGAAACUAAUGGACUUGAGUAUGGGAGAGGGAAGUGGAAUUCCUGGUGUAGAGGUGAAAUUCGUAGAUAUCAGGAGGAACACCGGUGGCGAAGGCGACUUCCUGGACCAAUACUGACGCUGAGGCGCGAAGGCGUGGGGAGCAAACAGGAUUAGAUACCCUGGUAGUCCACGCAGUAAACGGUGAACACUAGGUGUAGCGGGU
rnacentral:rRNA from 1 species